ensembl:lncRNA
UCUUUUAUAUUUUCCAGACAAGGGUCAGUAAUCACGGAAACACAGCUAGCUUUCAACUCCACACAAGCUAUUCCAACUGUUCAAGAGAUUUCAGACACCCUCUUUACAGCAGUGAUAAACGGAAGUGUCAACCCACUGAACAUAACUCCUUAUUCAAUUUCAGUCAACGGUUCGAUUAUAAACGUGACUACUUCAACUACAGCAUCAACAACAACAACAGCAAUGACGAUGACAACAACAAGAACAACAACAACCACACCGACAACAACUACAAGAGCCUUGACAUCUACAACUAAAGUGCCUGCAACUAAAACUACACAAUUUGUACCUGUGUAUCUAACAGCUCUGGUGUUCCGCUCUUUAGACAUAUUCAUAACUGAACUCAGUAAUCAAAGCUCUCAGGCCUUCAAGUCAAGAUCUGAGCUUGUCAGAUCUCAGCUCGAACCCAUCUACAGAGCAAAAUAUCCUUCCUUUAUCAGAGUGAUUGUCUUAAGUUUCCGUCCUGGGUCAAUCAUCACAGAAACUCAACUAGUUUUUAACUCCACACAACCUGUUCCAACCGUUCAAGAGAUUUCAGACUCCCUCCUGUCAGCAGUGGUAACAGGAGGUGUCGAUCCACUGAACAUAAUCCCUUCAACAGUUUCAGUCAAUGGUUCAGUUAUAGCUACGACUGUUGCUGCAACUACAGCUUCAAGUGGACUGAAGAUUGAAUCCAGCCUGCUCCAAGCAACAUGGCUCAUUAUUAUGGCAAAAAUAUUACAGUUUUUCCUAUAGAUCUCUUAACAAUGAAUGUGAGUUGCGAGAAAUGAAAGGCAUGUGCCAGGCACACAAUUAUAUUAUCAAAUUAUAUUAUUUUUGUAUGUGUGUUUGUGUAUUGUGGUAUUAAGUAUUGUAGCACACUCUUGAAAUAUGGCAAUGGCAAAAUAAGCAUAAGCCUGAAAUUGCAUUGAUUCUAAGGAGCACAAUUUGUAAUUAGAAAAAAUAAUAUAUGUAUAUUUAUUUAUCAGCAGGUUGUAGUAAUCAAUCAAAUAAGGAAAAUUCCUAUUUCCUAUUCAGUAUUUUAAAUGUAAUGCUUUUGUUCACUUGUCUGCAGGUUAAAGACUAUUUAAACUGUAAUUCUCUUUUGUCUAGUAUGUGCUAAUAUCGCAAGAACUUAUUUAAUCUUAUUAUAAUCAAAUAAACAUAUUUAUUAAGUUCA